AUUCGGGGAGCCUGGUCACCAACUGGAUGCUCAGGGGAGAUGGAACCCUGAGCAGCCCAUGUACACGGAAGAUCUUUAUUGCAGAGAUCUUCAAACCAGGGAUAUACAAGAAUCCCUGUAGAAAACCUCAUGAACUCAAGGUCAUGCAGAGACUUAGGGAAGAACUGGGACUAGCUUAUCAAGACUCUACACUACUGACCCAGGGCUUGGCAGUUUCUGUCCUAGAAAUCAGCACAUGUAGCUCAUGCGUCACUGAGAAGGUGGUCACCCUAAGAAGUGGUUCCCCACUCUAUGUUCUAAGAUAUUCCUCUCUCAGAAACCACAUCUGUUUUCAACUUUUUUUUUUUAGACAGUCUCACUCUUGUCACCCAGGCUGGGGUACAGUGGUGCAAUCUCAGCUCACUGCAACCUCUGCCUCCCAUGUUCAAGCGAUUCUUCUGCCUCAGCCUCCCAGGUAGCUGAGACUACAGGCGUGUGCCACCAUGCCCAGCUAGUUUCUUGUAUUUUAUUAGUAGAGAUGGGGUUUCACCAUGUUAUCCAAUAUGGUCUCAAACUGCUGAGCUCAGGCAAUCCACCCGCC
rnacentral:antisense_RNA from 1 species